CCUGGGUUCAAUCCCCAGUACUACAAGAAAGGAAGGCUGGAAAGAUGGAAGGAAGAGAGGGAGUGAGGGCUCAGCUGUGGUUACACACUGUGAACUUCUAGCUAGCACGUUGGUCAUUUGUUUCGUUCAUUCAACACUAUUUCCUACAAUGCUGGCCCCUGGGGAGACAGCAGGGAGUGGCAGUGACCGGAAGGUGCUGUGUGCCCCACACCAGGCUUGGUUACCGAGGUCUCCCCAGAGCCCAGCCAGAGACCCCAAGGGGUACCUCUCCGUGCCAAGUGCAGGACCCUUAGUGACACUGCCCAGCAGUAUGGCCAUGCUGAGCACCGGCGGGACAGAGAUGGCGGAGUCUACUCUAGUUCUGGCCUGGUGGCUUCAAGGGAGAGGACGUCGGGAAGCUGCCCCCAGGCAACUUCUCCUUGGUCCUUAAGUCUGUGUGGCAGCAAGGGCUGGGUGCAGUGAAUGACAGUGGCAGGAGGCCACAGGCCUGCGGUCACCACAUGGGCACCGCCGGCCACUGCCCACCUCCCCGCUGCAGGGCAGCGCUGUCUGCCCUCACCAGUGCCUUCCUGAAAAGCAAACGUUCAUCAUAGUUAGAAUCCAGGCUCAAUUUUAGCCAAACAGAAAAAAAACCAAAAAGACCUUUAAAAGACCCACACAUUUUUAACAAGUUCCAAGAAAGCACGUUCUUUAAAAAUAAAGUGAUUCAAUGUAAUGCCCACAUUCUGUAGAAGGUGAAGAAGUUACCCCAACCAGACAAGCUGCUGAUGGAGCCUUCUCCCCCAGCUUCGCUGAGUAAGCCUCCCGCUGUGUUUGUUUAAAAAUAAGGCUGUGUUUCCGGGUCACUGCAAGUGCCCAGCUGUCUCCCGGCGGAUCUGAACCUGUUCACUCUCGGUUCCUCCAGUCACCUUCUCCUGCUUAGAAUUGUGUUCAGGCUACAAAUGUGAAAAACAUUCAAAUCCUAAGAUGAGGCAAAACCAGAAACAGUAAAAUCCUCUCUGGCCCCGGUCCACACCAGUUUUCUCUGGCAAUGACCCGCAGCAUCGGCGGGCAGGUGGGAGGGGAGGCUUGGGGAAGGCUGGCGCCCACCCUUGCUUCCUGCAGGCUGCUAGCCCGUAGCGCAGGCGUGGCUCCUCCUUGCUGGGGUGGGCUCCACACGGAGUGCGCCUCGCUGCCGCACACACACUCCGCCCUCAUUUUACCAACAGGACUGCUCAUCCGCACGGAGUGUCUGCGCGGUGGACCAGACCCGGUCUCCCUGCGGGCGCAUGAGGCCAGCAGCCCCCUGCAGACGAGGUUAUGUGGGAGAAUCUGACGUCCUGGGCAGUGCGGAAAACGUGCAGGUGCUCAGUCCUGUCCUGCAGAAACGCUGGGCUGGGAGCCCUGACGAAGCGGGUUUGAGGGCACAGCAGGGCGACUCCAGAGAGCAGCACACGGCACACACAGCCAGAGCUCGGAGAAGUCUGAAAACUUUCUCCAUGAAGAAAUUGUAAAUGUCUGGGGAGAUGGAUGUGCUUUCCCUGAUUUAAACACACACAAUGUAUACAUGCAUCAAACCAUUCUGCAGCACCCCAUGAAUAUGCAAUUUUUAUGUUUUUAUGUAUCAGUGAAACAGUAAAUAUAAAAAAUAUAAAAAACCAAACAUCGCCUACAAAAGGAAAGAAAUAUACUGUGAUAUAUGUUACAUCUACUUAUAUAUAAUUUUCAUUCACUGGUCGCUACAUCAAAACGUUGUAGUGAAAUUAAUUUUGAUAUACAUUGUUUUUAGUCUUAACGAGUUGGAAAUACCCUCUCUUAGCAUGCGGCUAAUAUUUAAGAAGCGCAGGCAUGGUUUACACUUUUCUCACUACGUCUCUGAA